GACUUCGUCGGUGUAUUGUUAAUUUUUAUCGCUGUUGCUCGAGUGAAAAGUUAAUGUACAUCUACUACAAGGAUGGAACAUCAUCAGGUUAUAAACACGCCGAGCGGCGAGCCGAGCAGAGCCGAGUGUCUCCCCACAGUCCCCACUCUCCCCUCGAUGUGAACUUGCUUGGUGCGGUGCUCCAUCGGCGAUCUCCCAACUUUCGAUUCAUGUUUGACCUAUAUUUAUCUGUUUUGUAUAUACAUACUUCGAAAAUACGUGCGGUCGACAGAGCGGUAUGUACGUAAAUACAUGAUUUUCAAAAUUUUCAAA